rnacentral:rRNA from 1 species
UGGGGCAUAUUGCACAAUGGGGGAAACCCUGAUGCAGCGACGCCGCGUGAACGCAGAAGGUAUUCGUAUCGUAAAGUUCUGUCCUAUGGGAAGAUAAUGACAGUACCAUAGAAGAAAGCUCCGGCUCAAUACGUGCCAGCGGCCGCGGUAAUACGUAUGUAGCGAGCGUUGUCCGGCAUCAUUGGGCGUAAAGGGUACGCAGGCGGUUUAAUAAGUCGAAUGUUAAAGAUCGGGGCUCAACCCCGCAAAGCAUUGGAAACUGAUAAACUUGAGUAGUGGAGAGGAAAGUGGAAUUCCUAGUGUAGUGGUGAAAUACGUAGAUAUUAGGAGGAAUGCCAGUAGCGAAGGCGACUUUCUGGACACAAACUGACGCUGAGGUACGAAAGCGUGGGGAGCAAACAGG